rnacentral:lncRNA from 1 species
GGGAAUGCAACAACUUUAUUGAAAGGAAAGUGCAAUGAAAUUUGUUGAAACCUUAAAAGGGGAAACUUAGACACCCCCCCUCAAGCGCAGGACCAAGUGCAGAGUGGACUCUUUCUGGAUGUUGUAGUCAGACAGGGUGCGUCCAUCUUCCAGCUGUUUCCCAGCAAAGAUCAACCUCUGCUGAUCAGGAGGGAUGCCUUCCUUAUCUUGGAUCUUUGCCUUGACAUUCUCGAUGGUGUCACUGGGCUCCACCUCGAGGGUGAUGGUCUUACCAGUCAGGGUCUUCACGAAGAUUUGCAUCCCACCUCUGAGACGGAGCACCAGGUGCAGGGUGGACUCUUUCUGGAUGUUGUAGUCAGACAGGGUGCGUCCAUCUUCCAGCUGUUUCCCAGCAAAGAUCAACCUCUGCUGGUCAGGAGGGAUGCCUUCCUUGUCUUGGAUCUUUGCCUUGACAUUCUCAAUGGUGUCACUCGGCUCCACUUCGAGAGUGAUGGUCUUACCAGUCAGGGUCUUCACGAAGAUCUGCAUCCCACCUCUAAGACGGAGCACCAGGUGCAGGGUGGACUCUUUCUGGAUGUUGUAGUCAGACAGGGUGCGUCCAUCUUCCAGCUGUUUCCCAGCAAAGAUCAACCUCUGCUGGUCAGGAGGGAUGCCUUCCUUGUCUUGGAUCUUUGCCUUGACAUUCUCAAUGGUGUCACUCGGCUCCACUUCGAGAGUGAUGGUCUUACCAGUCAGGGUCUUCACGAAGAUCUGCAUCCCACCUCUAAGACGGAGCACCAGGUGCAGGGUGGACUCUUUCUGGAUGUUGUAGUCAGACAGGACAGGGUGCGCCCAUCUUCCAGCUGCUUUCCGGCAAAGAUCAACCUCUGCUGGUCAGGAGGAAUGCCUUCCUUGUCUUGGAUCUUUGCUUUGACGUUCUCGAUAGUGUCACUGGGCUCGACCUCAAGGGUGAUGGUCUUGCCAGUGAGUGUCUUCACGAAGAUUUGCAUCCCACCUCUGAGACGGAGUACCAGGUGCAAGGUGGACUCUUUCUGGAUGUUGUAGUCAGACAGGGUACGACCAUCUUCCAGCUGUUUUCCGGCAAAGAUCAACCUCUGCUGAUCAGGAGGAAUGCCUUCCUUAUCUUGGAUCUUUGCCUUGACAUUCUCGAUGGUGUCACUGGGCUCCACCUCGAGGGUGAUGGUCUUACCAGUCAGGGUCUUCACGAAGAUCUGCAUCCCACCUCUGAGACGGAGCACCAGGUGCAGGGUAGACUCUUUCUGGAUGUUGUAGUCAGACAGGGUGCGCCCAUCUUCCAGCUGCUUUCCGGCAAAGAUCAACCUCUGCUGGUCAGGAGGAAUGCCUUCCUUGUCCUGGAUCUUUGCUUUGACGUUCUCGAUGGUGUCACUGGGCUCGACCUCAAGGGUGAUGGUCUUGCCAGUGAGUGUCUUCACGAAGAUUUGCAUCCCACCUCUGAGACGGAGCACCAGGUGCAGGGUGGACUCUUUCUGGAUGUUGUAGUCAGACAGGGUGCGCCCAUCUUCCAGCUGUUUUCCAGCAAAGAUCAGCCUCUGCUGGUCAGGAGGGAUGCCUUCCUUAUCUUGGAUCUUUGCCUUGACAUUCUCGAUGGUGUCACUGGGCUCAACCUCGAGGGUGAUGGUCUUACCAGUCAGAGUCUUCACGAAGAUCUGCAUUG